rnacentral:rRNA from 1 species
GACGAACGCUGGCGGCGUGCUUAACACAUGCAAGUCGAGCGGUAAGGCCCUUUCGGGGGUACACGAGCGGCGAACGGGUGAGUAACACGUGGGUGACCUGCCCUCAGCUCUGGGAUAAGCCCGGGAAACUGGGUCUAAUACCGGAUAUGACUCCAUGACGCAUGUUGUGGGGUGGAAAGCCUUGUGCGGCUGAGGAUGGGCCCGCGGCCUAUCAGCUUGUUGGUGGGGUGANGGCCUACCAAGGCGACGACGGGUAGCCGGCCUGAGAGGGCGACCGGCCACACUGGGACUGAGACACGGCCCAGACUCCGUACGGGAAGGCAGCAGUGGGGAAUCUUGCGCAAUGGGCGAAAGCCUGACGCAGCGACGCCGCGUGA